GAGGGCAUAGCUCAGUGGUAGAGCGCAUACCUGGCAUGCAUGAGGUCCUGGGUUCAAUCUCCAGUACCUCCA
rnacentral:tRNA from 1 species